rnacentral:rRNA from 1 species
UACGGAGGGGGCUAGCGUUAUUCGGAAUUAUUGGGCGUAAAGGGCGUGUAGGCGGCUUCGUGUGUCCCAUGUGAAAGCCCUCGGCUCAACCGGGGAACUGCAUGGGAAACUGCGGAGCUUGAGUCCGGGAGAGGAUAGUGGAAUUCCCAGUGUAGCGGUGAAAUGCGCAGAUAUCGGGAGGAACACCUAUGGCGAAGGCAGCUCGCUGGGACGUUACUGACGCUGAGACGCGAAAGCGUGGGGAGCAAACAGG